rnacentral:rRNA from 1 species
UACGUAGGUGGCAAGCGUUGUCCGGAAUUAUUGGGCGUAAAGCGCGCGCAGGCGGUCCUUUAAGUCUGAUGUGAAAGCCCACGGCUCAACCGUGGAGGGUCAUUGGAAACUGGGGGACUUGAGUGCAGAAGAGGAAAGCGGAAUUCCACGUGUAGCGGUGAAAUGCGUAGAGAUGUGGAGGAACACCUGUGGCGAAGGCGGCCACCUGGGCCGACCCUGACGCUGAGGCGCGAAGGCGUGGGGAGCGAACGGG